CACAGAGAGUCAGAGACACAGAGAGUCAGAGUCAGAGACACAGAGAGUCAGAGACACAGAGAGUCAGAGACACAGAGAGUCAGAGACACAGAGAGUCAGAGACACAGAGAGUCAGAGACACAGAGAGUCAGAGACACAGAGAGACACAGAGAGUCAGAGACACAGAGACACAGAGAGUCAGAGACACAGAGAAACAGAGAGUCAGAGACACAGAGAGUCAGAGACACAGAGAGUCAGAGAA